GCUUAGCUCUAGUCCGACUUUGUCAAACGGCUUGGGAAGGGGUUUGGGGUGUUUGCAUAUGUAUGAGCUUUGUCGAUCAUGAAUACUCACUCCUCGCAGUGUGAUGUUACUGAUUUCGUCAAAAUGUAUGGCAUGCCUGGCACAUGGUUUCGCGUGAAGGUAACCUUUCGGGGUGGCGAUGCGAAGAUUUAGUGAGGUGGGAAGUUUGUCUGGGGCGGAACACGGAAGAAACAGAAGUGUAGCUGUUGUUCUAGUGCAAGCUUAAUGAGACCAUAGCAUAACUCGUUCGUCCGCCGGAAGAAUAGAUGUUGCUUGAUUUUGAUUUCUAGUACGAAUACGAACUGUUGAAGCCUUCCGAUCCUGUAGGUUUGAGAUGAUUCCAGCUGGACAUGUCAGAAAAGU
rnacentral:ncRNA from 1 species